GAUGAACGCUAGCGGCGUGCCUAACACAUGCAAGUCGAACGUGAGAGGGUACUUGUAUCCUUGAAAGUGGCGGACGGGUGAGUAAGACGUAGGUGACCUGCCUUGAAGUGGGGGAUAACCAUUGGAAACGAUGGCUAAUACCGCAUAAGCUGGUGACGAUGGGAAUGGUUAUCAGGAAAGCUUUAGUGCUUUGAGAGGGGCCUACGGCCGAUUAGCUAGUUGGUGAGGUAAAGGCUCACCAAGGCGAUGAUCGGUAGCUGGUCUGAGAGGACGAUCAGCCACACGGGAACUGAGACACGGUCCCGACUCCUACGGGGGGCAGCAGUGAGGAAUAUUCGGCAAUGGGGGCAACCCUGACCGAGCAACGCCGCGUGGAGGAUGACGGUUUUCGGAUUGUAAACUCCUUUUCUCAGGGAAGAGCGAGGACGGUACCUGAGGAAUAAGUCACGGCUAACUACGUG
rnacentral:rRNA from 1 species